AUUUCCUGCCGCCUCACGCACAGCCAAUCACGGCGUGCGUUUCAGGCAGGGCCCAGCCUCGUGGACCGGCAGGCUACUCGCGAUUGGUCCGCGGGAGAGUCGGUAACACGAGCGGGAUUCGGGCGCCACGUUGCAGGCUGACGCUCAAACUCGUCCCCGCUGUGAGUGAGUGGACUCAGCGUGGGUCAGCGUGGAAACAAGAAGUCCAGGGAGCAUCUCCACGACCUGCGACAAGCGGCCUCCGUGGCACCAUCAUGUCCCCCCCCCCUUGUCUGAGUAUGUCCAGGUCCCACAACCAGGAUACCCUUAUAAUAUCUUCAUGGUGUCACAGUGAGGCCUGCACCCUGUGAUGGCUGUGUGUAGUGUGGAGCUGGCAGCAACACUCGAAAAUAUUCUCCACCGACUCGCUUCUCCGCUCCUCCAUCCAGGCGACGGGGUGGUGGAGCCGUUUUGGCUGCAGAAGGAGUUUCUCCCCCUGGGCUGCGGCGUGGCUCCUGUCCCCUUCUCUCCCUGCAGCUGGAGCUAGCAGAGCCAGAUGCUACGUAGCUGCACCACCCUCUGUCCCCCCUGUUUCUCUUCCAGGAGGAUGGUGCCCAGAGAGGAGGAUGACAAACGCCUCUGCCUCCGCUUACUGACGGAUUUGGACGACCUGACUCCAGCCCUGCACUGUUCCAACCGCCAGCACAAGAUGUUGACUUAAUGGAAGGGGGUUGGCUGUGGAAGGGCCCAUAUGCGUUUGUAUUGGGGAAAUAUGGCAGGGUGGUGUGUCUGUGUAUGUCUGUGUAUUCAUCGGGCUGGUGUGUGUGUGUGUGUUUGUGCGCGUCUGUGUGUGUGUGUGUGCGUCUUUUCACCUAGCCCAGACUGCCGACAUCCAUCAUGCCAUGGCGCUCUGGCAGAGAGUGGGACUCAGACAGCCUCACUAACACACGGUCAGUUAAAUUGCCUGUUAAAUUGUCCUGGUCCGUGGCUAUCUUAGGUUUAGAUAAAAACACUGCACUUAAAGGCUGCACUUAAAGGCAGAAAUUGUCAAGUAAAUGCCAGCCUCCCUCCAUGCAUAGAGGGAGAAAGGGAGAGACAGAGCUCCACUGAGGGAAACACAUUUCCAUUACAAGACAAAAUACUGCAGCGAACAGGAAGCUACGUGUGUGUGUGUGUGUGUGUGUGUACAGAUGCCAAAGAGUUGUUGCUCAAGGUAAUUAUCAAGGAUCAUAUUAUUAAGAUAUCAGACUUAGGGUUUAUUGCCAAUUGGGUUUACACAUACCAGGAAUUUGUUGUGGUGUGUUUUGUGCAUAUAAUCAAAGAAGCUCAAAUAUUGGCCUUAAGCGCUGCAGAUCCACUUGAUCAAUACGCUAAUUCAUGCAUGGUCUUCAUCAACCUGCCCCGUUCUCCCUUAAUGAUUAAAACAGCGGUCUCAACCCAACACGUUUGACAUUUCUUUCCAUGCAACCAAAUGGAAAAUUGAGUCUCAUUCUUUUAACAUUACCAGGAUAUUAAGGAUAAUUGUCCUUCUUGCGUCCCUGGACCAAAGAGCUUGAGCUGCUCCACUGAUAGCAGCGAUGUAAAGGACAAAGUGGGUUAGUUACAGACGCUCUGGUCAGUGACACCUUCACAAAAACAUCUUUCAAUCUAAAUAUUGUAUUUUUUAAGAUUUUAAAAAACAGCUUUAUAACUUGCUGCACUCUCCUCGACAUCUUUGACUUGAAACUCAUGGGUCUGCUGUGAACUCAUCAAAAUAAAUCUUCGUGCCUUGAAAUCUGUCGCCUGUUUUGCUUUGGUUCCUUGUCUGGACUCGGAACACAAAACAGCGACCUUUGUUUUUAUUCCAAUUCAUUUUUAA